GAAAACCUUACGAGGAUAAGACGAACGAAGGAUUGACAGAUUGAUCGCUCUUUCUUGAUUGUUCAGGUGGUGGUGCAUGGCCGUUCUUAGUUCGUGGAUUAAUUUGUCUGGUUAAUUCCGUUAACGAACGAGAUCUUAACUUGCUAAUUGGACUGCAGUAUUCCCUACUGUAUUCUGUUAGAAGGACCAUGUGUGUCUAACACAAGGAAGCGUGAGGCAAUAA
rnacentral:rRNA from 1 species